UAGUAACGGCGAGUGAAGCGGGAUGAGCUCAAGCUUAAAAUCUCUGUGCCAGUUUGGCAUGGCGAAUUGUAGUCUAUAGAGGCGUUGUCAGUGCAGCUGUGCGGGGUAAGUUCCUUGGAAGAGGACAGCAUCGAGGGUGAUACUCCCGUUUGUACCUGUGCGGCUUGCGCGUACGACACGUUUUCUUCGAGUCGCGUUGUUUGGGACUGCAGCGCAAAGUAGGUGGUAAAUUCCAUCUAAAGCUAAAUAUUGGUGCGAGACCGAUAGCGAACAAGUACCGUGAGGGAAAGAUGAAAAGAACUUUGAAAAGAGAGUUAAAGAGUACCUGAAACUGCUGAAAGGGAAGCGAAUCGUAUCCAGUGUCUAUAAUCUGCGGCAUAUUUCAUUGGCGGCGGUGCGCGUGCUUUUGCGUCGGAAGCGGCUUUUGUUGCUCUGUGCUUUUGCUGUGCGUGGUGUUGCUGGUGCCCUGUGUUGCGGUGGGACGUCAGAGUCAGUUUGUAUGCUGCGGGAAAUGGCUGCCGAGGAGGUAGGUCGAGAUUUCGGUCUUGGCUGUUAUAUCUUGGUGGUUUGUUGUCGUGGUUGAGACUGAGGUGCCUACAAUGUGCUUUUGAGUGUACCGGGUUCUCAUUUGGUGGACUGUUUGGAUAGCUUGCUAUGCUUGUGGUUUUUUCAUCGGGUGAUUGAGUCUGGUGGUAACUUAUUGCCGUUC
rnacentral:rRNA from 2 species